GUAUUCGUCACUGCUUUGACAUGUUAUGUGAUUGUAUUGAAAGAAACUAUCUAUAUGUUUUUAACCAAGGGCCACAUUAAGUAUAUGCUAUUUGUCUUGAUGGGUAAAUAACAACUUUUUACCCACACCGGUGCCAAAAUUAACCGCCAUUUUUUUUCGGUCGGCACUUGCAGCUCUUAUCAGAAGAACUUUGCCCUUUCAGUCUUUAUCCCGACAUUCACAGUUCUCACCGGACGUUUGUAUCGAAAUUCUAGCUACACACAUCUGGUAGCGGAGGACAUUAUAUAUACACUACCAGCAUUUUGCAGGGAAAGAAACAACAAAAUGCCGAAACCAGUGAAUGUCCGGGUGAUGACAAUGGAUGCAGAGCUGGAGUUUGCCAUCCAACCUAACACAACUGGCAAACAGCUCUUUGAUCAGGUGGUCAAAACUAUAGGUCUGCGUGAGAUCUGGUUCUUUGGGUUGCAGUACAUAGACAGUAAAGGCUACACAACUUGGCUAAAACUCAACAAAAAGGUUUUGAGUCAAGAUGUUAAAAAAGAAACACCACUUCAGUUCAAGUUCAGGGCUAAAUUCUAUCCUGAAGAUGUAUCUGAGGAACUUAUACAAGAAGUCACACAGCGCAUGUUUUUCCUGCAAGUGAAAGAGUGUAUUUUGAAUGAAGAUAUCUACUGCCCCCCAGAGACCUCAGUGCUACUCGGCUCCUACGCAGUGCAGGCCAAAUAUGGCGACUACAACAAAGAUGUGCACAAAACUGGCUUCCUGGGCAAUGAUAGACUUUUACCUAUGAGGGUCAUAGACCAACAUAAGAUGUCCAAAGAACAAUGGGAAGAGAGAAUCGUCAACUGGUACAAAGAGCACAACUCCAUGCUUCGAGAGGAUGCAAUGAUGGAGUACUUAAAAAUAGCCCAGGAUCUAGAGAUGUAUGGUGUGAACUAUUUUGAAAUCAAAAAUAAGAAAGGCACAGAUCUAUGGCUAGGCGUAGAUGCAUUAGGUUUAAAUAUUUACGAAAAAGCUGACCAACUCACCCCCAAGAUAGGAUUCCCAUGGAGUGAAAUUAGAAAUAUUUCUUUUAACGACAAGAAGUUUGUUAUAAAACCAAUAGAUAAGAAAGCACCUGACUUUAUGUUUUAUGCAGCCCGGCUUAGGAUAAACAAGCGAAUUCUUGCCUUGUGUAUGGGCAACCAUGAGUUGUACAUGAGGAGACGUAAGCCAGAUACCAUCGAAGUUCAGCAGAUGAAGGCACAGGCUAAAGAAGAGAAAAUUGCUAAACAGGCAGAAAGAUCUUUACUGGCCAAGGAGAAACAGAAGAGAGAAGAUGCUGAAAGGGAGAGGGAGGACCUAGAACAAAGACUCAAGAACUAUGAAUUAGAAAGGUCUAAUGCUCAGCAAGAACUUGAGGAAUCCAAUAAUAAGAUGAGAGAUUUGGAAGACCGUGUUAAGACCACUGAGUUAGAGUUCAGACAGAUUGAAGAAGCCAGAUUAGCAGCAGAGGAGGCCAGGAGACUAGCAGAGGAGUCUGCUCAUCUUGAGAAGGAAGAGCGUGAGCGAAGGGAAGCUGAGGCUCGUGAAGCCCAGGAGAUCGCUGAUGCAAAGGUAGCUGAGGCCGCUGAAAGAGCAGAGGAGGCAAGGUUGCUGCAAGAAAAACUAGAGGAAGCAAAAAGAGAAGUUGAGGAAUCCCAGGCUAAACUCUCAGAGGCUAUUGCCACACCUGCUAUCAUUAUGGUCAAGGAAAACGAACAAAUGGAUGCUGAUGAAACUGAAACAUAUGAGAGUGAACUGACUGUUGGAAACCAUGAGGUGCCUCAAUAUGAAGUUGACCGUCAAACACAAAUGGCCAAGGAUGCAAGGAUGAGAGAAGAGCUGGAGAAAUUGCAAGCUGAACUGACGGACCAGAAGGAUGUGAGCAAAGUGACGAGACAGGACAUGCUUCAUCAAGAGAAUGUCAAGCAGGGGCGUGAUAAAUACAAAACUCUUAAACAAAUUAGGUUAGGAAAUACCAAGAAACGCGUGGAUGAGUUUGAGGCUAUGUAAUCUAACAAACGAUGGCUCUACCAUACAGUGAGAGACUUUUAGGAUCAGAUAAGCUCUCAACAUGCAGAUGUAUUGUGCUCAAUAUUACAAGAACAAUGAUCAAUGUAACAACAAUGAUUACUAGUGUAUUGAAACUGGCAAUCAAUGAACAGGAAUUGCCCCAUUAUUAAUGUUACCAUAUGGAAUGAAAUGUGAACAAUUGUUGAGACACCUGUAAUAUAGAAAAUAGAAAUGAAAUGUUAGCCAUAAUGACAAUGAGACACUAGGAGAUGCAAGAUUACUUUAUAUCAUAACAUAUAUAUAUAUUAAAAUUAUAUAUAUAUAUAGGGACGCAGGAACGAAUCAAUGUUUGACUGGGUAAUCAAGGACUGGUUCACAUUUACAGAAUAGCAGGCUCUGCAAUUCAAAUGUUUCUUUUUUAAAUAAAGUAUCUUGCAAGAUUACUACCAAACAACUAGUUUAUUCUUCAAGAUUAUUUGCUCUAUUUGAAAUCAAGGCAGAUUUGAAGUUGUUGAGCUUAGUGGUUCUGUGAACAUAAGUGCCUCGUCUUCGUGAAAGUACGACUAGAGGCUGUGCAAUAAAAUGAACAAAUGUGACUUCUAUGUCUAGAUGUAACACCCACACUUGAUAAGUUGGAACAAGAGCCAUACUUUGCCUUUGUCAGUAAGAUUCUACAGUAGGUUUAACACUUGUUAAUUUCAAUGUGAUCACAGAAAUCAUUUCCUGACAUUUUGCAAACAUCAGACUCUGGAAGUUUCUAGCUUUUUCCCUUACUGCUAUGCUUCUUUUGUAGAAGGCAUAUGUCUGAUAUUUAUCAAUGAAUUAUUCAGUGAUCAUUAAUAUUCACCAUGAAAAUUAACAAAUGGAGGCAUUUACAUGUUAAUAUGUACCUGGGAUCAUCUGAUCUUUCUGAUUGAAACUACAUGGUAGAAACUACAUCUCUGGUGCUUAUAAAAUGACGCCAAUAGCAUACAGCAAUUGUUGCAAUGGUCAUCAAUACAUUAUGUAUUUAUAUAGCAUUGUAGAAUUCAAAUUAGCAUUUAUACUGUGCCUGUAUUCAUCAUUCAUAAUCAAAUUCCUUUCAUUUUGCAGUGACAGAGUUUUGAAUUAAACAAAAGCUGGAAAUGAAUUUGACAAUGAUUUUGAUCAGAUAUGAAUCAAUAAAUAAGAAAUUGUAAAUACAAGAGCAAAGUUGAUAGGCGUUAAUAUUGAAUAACUCCCUGUCUUCUAAGCUUCAUGAAAAAACUAUAAUUUUUCACCAAAAAUCACUAUUUUUACUACUACAAACUUUCAUGUAAAAGAAAUUCUGCAUUUUCUACUUGUAGCUAGCUAGCAUAUAUAAAUUUGGAAAGCAUGUGUUUAUGUGUUCAGUUUCAGUGAACUUUUAUCUAACUCUGCUGACAUGGUGCUUCUUGGCCCUUGUCUAUAGAAAGUAGUAGUAGAAUUGGGUUUAUUAUGCAACAUUGCCACAUAUUUUAUUUAACAUUUAUUAGUCGCCAAAUUGUUGGAUUAUUUGUUAUUAUUACUAUGUUCACAAUAAUAUUAUAUCAACUCAUAAUCAUAUGUAUACGUUCCAGAAUAUUAUAUGUUAUUAUCGGAGCAUGUGCAAACAUCACUUAUAUGUUAAGUAUAUCAAACGCUUUAUUUUAUAUAUCAUAAAUUGACUAUUAUGUUAGCUUUAUACAUUAUGGAGUAAUGUGUUUUAUAUCGAGUUGUACAUGUACACAAAUUCAUGUUACUAGUUAACAUUCAAAGGAAGUGUAUUUUCCUGGCCUGAUAGGUCAUUGGACAUCACAUGACUAAAGUAAGGCAAUGUUGGAAAUACAUGCCUUGAAGCUGAAACUCAUUACAUUACACACCAUAUGUGCAACAUUGUAGAUUUUGUAGAUCAAAUGCUAUUAAAAUAAUUCAUUAUUCUUUCAGGCAUGUCUUGUUAGUUAAUUCCAAUUUCCUUAUAAUCAAUUUUUGACACAAAAGCUCCAUUCUACAUUUCAACAUGAUUUCACCUAAAGGUUUAACAGCUUCAUUUGAUAACAUGUAAAUUCAGCCUUUAUAGGGAAUUUGUAUGGUCACAUGAUUGACUAAGUCUUGUUGCAUUCUCCCAGGAUGGUACACUAUCUAGGACUGGUCAUUGGUGCAUCAUGGAGAGGACAAUGAUCCCAUGAUAUAUCAGCAUACUGGUGCAUGAUGGGAAUGUCCUCAGGUGAUCAUGGAGAUUUCUGGGUUAUGUAACAUCAUUUUAUUUGCUCCUUUGUAUAUUAUAUUGUUGAUUUCUGUCAGUAGAGGACAGGUUGUAAUUCUAUAAACAAGUUGUCAAGGACAUGCUUGAUUGGCAAUAAAUGACCUUCAAUCAAGAUCUUACUUCUGUUUUUUCUACUGUUAUAAUAUCCAAACUCCAGAAGUUGGAAGAAAAAUGAAAAGGAUGUGUCUGGGUAUAUGCCCUUUUGCUCAGUCAAAUGUAUGUGAAAUAUGGCUUUUAUUUCUGUCCUAGUUAUAUUUGAUAAGUAUAUUUACUUUUUCAUGAGUUUUGAUGAAUAAUUAACCCCCUGCUUAGAGUCAGAAUAAGUA
rnacentral:misc_RNA from 1 species